GAAAAUACACAAAUGGCUAAUAAGCACAUACAAAUAUGUUUAACAUCAUUAAUCAUUUGGGAAAUAAAAAUUAAAACCACAGUGAAAUCAGAAAAUGGAUAUAAUAAAAGAGAAUGACAAAACCAAAUAUUGGCAAGGAUGUUUUGGUCAGCAGAAUAAUGAAUCACCUUCCAAGAUGUCCAUGUGUAAUCCCUAGAGACUUACAUGUUAUCUCACAAGGCAAAAGGAACUUUGUAGGUGUGAUAAAAAGUUAAAUAUCUUAAUAUGGGAAAAUUAUCUUGGGUUUUUUAGCUGGGCCCAAUAUAAUCACAAAGUUCCUUAUAGGAAGGAGUCAGGAGAGUCAGUAAGAGAAGAAGAUGGAAUGACGGAAGCAAAAGCUGGACUGAUGUACAGUCAGGAGUCAAGGAAUGCUGGCAGCUGCUAGAAGCUGGCAAAGGCAAAAUCAUUUUUUCCACUGGAGCUUCUGGAAAGAAGACAGCUUUGCCAGCACCUUGAUUAGCCCCCAAAGACCCAUUUUAACUGCUGACACUCAGAAUUCUAAGAUAAUAUAUUUGUAUUUUUUAUGCCACUAAACUUGUGGUAGUUUGUUACAAUAGUAGUAGGAACUUAAUACAGAUGUGAAAAAAACUAGAACUACCAAACAUUUUUUAUGGUAAUGUAAAAUGGUACAGUUCCUUUGAAAAACUAUUUGAUAGUUACAAAUAAGCAAUUCCAUUACAAGGUAUUUGCAGAAGAGCAAUAAAAAUAUAUGUCCAUACAAAGAUAUGUGCACAGAUGUUCAUAACUGUAUUAUUCACAAUAGCCAAAACCAGAACAAAUCCAAAUAUUUAUUAAUUUUUGAAUGGAUAAAUACAAUGCAGUAUAACCAUGAAAUGGAAUAAUACCAGUGAAAAGGAAUAACCCGAUUAUACAACCACAUGAAUGAACCUCGAAAAUUAUGUUAAGUGAGAGAAGGUGAAUACGCAAGUUUACAUAUUGUAUUGUUCUAUUUCUGUAAAAUUUCCAGAAAAGUCAAAUUUAUAUAAAAAGAAAACCUAUCAGUGUCUUCCCGGGAAUGGAAGUUGCAAUUGAUUAUAAACAAGGACAAGGGAUUUUUUUAAGUUGUGAGAGAAGUGUUCCAAAACUUGAUUGUGGUGAAGGUUGCACAAGUAUGUAACUUUCUAAAAUAAUCAAAUUGUACAUUUAUAAUAGGGGAAUUAUUUUGUAUGUAAGCAUAUCUCAAUAAAGCUGUUAAAAGUAAAACAAGAAGAAAUAGAAAAACAUGUUGCCAAGUUCUCUCUCUACAAUUUCCCAAGGAGCUCUUCUCUGCAGAAGAGACAGAAAAAUUUUAAGUCACCUUUCCCCUUAAUACAUACUUAAAUUUAUUAUAUCUAUCUGCAUAUUUGCAUACUCACUGUCUGUUUUUCUCAUAUUAGAAAAUGCCAAACUUCUUGAAAACAAAAGUAAUGGUUAAUAUUGAAUCCACAGUGGUAUCCCCUAUCCAAGAAUCCACUAUAUGUCUAAGAUACAUUUGCUGAAUCCCUGAGUAAUCAAUGCUCCCAGCUCAAACACCAGCAUUUAUUUUAGCUACCUGGAGAAAUGUCCUUCCUCAUGAUUUUUUCUCAAGAUUAAACUGUGGUGUAAUUCCAAGUUUUAGAUAUUGUUCACUUUUAAAGCCUCUGUGAACACACAAGGAGAAAAAAUGGGGAGAAAGAGUUUGUACAUUUUGGCAGCACUAAUUCUGUCCUUCCAUUUUUUUUUUUAAAAGUACAUUACCACUCAGAAAUUUUGUUUUUUUUUUGUUUUGAAUCAUUUUACCCUUUUUUCUCUCUAUUGUCUCUUCUAUAGCUUUGCUUUUCUAAUAACCACUCCUUUCUUUGAAAGAAAAAUUAUAAACUGAGCAGGUGUUCAGUCAUAUUUGGAUAAUUUUCUUCCAUUCACUGCUUCCUCAAAAAUAUUUCAUCCUAGAUUCUUAAUUGAAUCAUGUCAUCUAUUCAUUUAUUAUUCAUAGAACAAAACAUGAUUGUUACAUCUGAACCAGCCAUGCAGUGAGUUGCAUCAGUUUUUAAAUAGUUUGAAGUGAAUGAAUCGGCUAAAAUGAAGUGAAUGCACUUCAGCAUAUGUUGACACUGCCGAAAUCAGUGGGCACCGAGCAGCUGCUUAAAAAAUGACAGUGGUACAGCCCUGAAAGUGAUAUUUGUAGGAAUGAUAGCCAUUCAAUCUUUUUCCUUCAGUAUUAUGCAGUGAUACAGUUUGGAUGUUUGUCCCCUCCAAAUCUCAUGUUGCAAUGCAAUCCCCAGUGUUGGCGGUGGAGCCUGGUGGGAGGUGGUUUUGUCAUAGUGGUGGAUCCCUCAUGAAUAGCUUGAUGCUGUCCUUGUGAUAGAAAUAGUAAGAUAGUUCUUACUCUGAGUUCAUAUGAGAUCUGGUUGUUUAAAAGUGCGUGGCACCCCCUGACUUGUUCUCUUCUUCCUGCUUUCCCUAUGUGAUGUGUUGGUUCAUCUUCACCUUCUGCUAUGACUGUAAGUUCCCUGAGGCUCUAGCCAGAAGCAGAUGCUAGCACACUUCCUGUACAACCUGCAGAACCAUGAGCCAAUUAAACCUCUUUUCUUUAUAAGUUACUCUGUUCUGGUUACUUCUUUAUAGCAAGGCAAGAAGGCCUGACACGUUCAAUGUGCUCUAACCUCCUGCCAAGUAGUGUGCAAGGUUCAAGAGAUGGAAAAUUGGAAGCGAAAGUCCUUGGAGAAGCUCUCAUUCAACUGAAAGCAAAUAUGGAACAGAUAAGAAGGCAAGAAAAGGAUCAUCACAAAUAUAGCCUGACUGGAUGCUGUUUAGAGCAGUAGCUAUUCUAUAUCCUCACAUUCUCAGGUUCUAUAAUCUGAAAAUAGCUAAAUAAAAAUAAUAGCUGAGCCCAAACCACUGAGGUUGGUGUCAAUUCUUUCAUUACAAGAAACUAUCUCAGGGGCUGUUGAAUAAAAAUAAUGAUUUUAUUUUAUUCCCCCCCCAAACCCAUUAAAACACUAAUAAAGGGAAUUUUAAAAUAUACAAACUCAAAAAAAGAUGUGAAGGAUUGUAGAAAAGAGAAUAGCAACAAAAGUUUGGACCAAAAGAAAAUAAAUAAGUGAAUUUAAAAGACCCCCCCCACCCACCUACCCCAAAUAAAUUCUAUAUUCAU
rnacentral:lncRNA from 10 species